CAGGCUUAACACAUGCAAGUCGAGGGGCAGCAUUUCAGUUUGCUUGCAAACUGGAGAUGGCGACCGGCGCACGGGUGAGUAACACGUAUCCAACCUGCCGAUAACUCGGGGAUAGCCUUUCGAAAGAAAGAUUAAUACCCGAUGGUAUAAUCAGACCGCAUGGUCUUGUUAUUAAAGAAUUUCGGUUAUCGAUGGGGAUGCGUUCCAUUAGGCAGUUGGUGAGGUAACGGCUCACCAAACCUUCGAUGGAUAGGGGUUCUGAGAGGAAGGUCCCCCACAUUGGAACUGAGACACGGUCCAAACUCCUACGGGAGGCAGCAGUGAGGAAUAUUGGUCAAUGGGCGCAGGCCUGAACCAGCCAAGUAGCGUGAAGGAUGACUGCCCUAUGGGUUGUAAACUUCUUUUAUAUGGGAAUAAAGUUUUCCACGUGUGGAAUUUUGUAUGUACCAUAUGAAUAAGGAUCGGCUAACUCCGUGCCAGCAGCCGCGGUAAUACGGAGGAUCCGAGCGUUAUCCGGAUUUAUUGGGUUUAAAGGGAGCGUAGGUGGACAGUUAAGUCAGUUGUGAAAGUUUGCGGCUCAACCGUAAAAUUGCAGUUGAUACUGGCUGUCUUGAGUACAGUAGAGGUGGGCGGAAUUCGUGGUGUAGCGGUGAAAUGCUUAGAUAUCACGAAGAACUCCGAUUGCGAAGGCAGCUCACUGGACUGCAACUGACACUGAUGCUCGAAAGUGUGGGUAUCAAACAGGAUUAGAUACCCUGGUAGUCCACACAGUAAACGAUGAAUACUCGCUGUUUGCGAUAUACAGUAAGCGGCCAAGCGAAAGCAUUAAGUAUUCCACCUGGGGAGUACGCCGGCAACGGUGAAACUCAAAGGAAUUGACGGGGGCCCGCACAAGCGGAGGAACAUGUGGUUUAAUUCGAUGAUACGCGAGGAACCUUACCCGGGCUUAAAUUGCAUUUGAAUAUAUUGGAAACAGUAUAGUCGUAAGGCAAAUGUGAAGGUGCUGCAUGGUUGUCGUCAGCUCGUGCCGUGAGGUGUCGGCUUAAGUGCCAUAACGAGCGCAACCCUUAUCUUUAGUUACUAACAGGUCAUGCUGAGGACUCUAGAGAGACUGCCGUCGUAAGAUGUGAGGAAGGUGGGGAUGACGUCAAAUCAGCACGGCCCUUACGUCCGGGGCUACACACGUGUUACAAUGGGGGGUACAGAAGGCAGCUACCUGGUGACAGGAUGCUAAUCCCAAAAGCCUCUCUCAGUUCGGAUCGAAGUCUGCAACCCGACUUCGUGAAGCUGGAUUCGCUAGUAAUCGCGCAUCAGCCAUGGCGCGGUGAAUACGUUCCCGGGCCUUGUACACACCGCCCGUCAAGCCAUGAAAGCCGGGGGUACCUGAAGUACGUAACCGCAAGGAGCGUCCUAGGGUAAAACUGGUAAUUGGGGCUAAG
rnacentral:rRNA from 1 species